GGCAAGCGGCCAUGAUGGAACGCACGUUGAAUGAAAAUUUCGAUUUUUUUUGUUGUAAAGUUGGCCAAAGAACAUGAUUUCUUCAGUAAUCACCAAUCUCACCUUAGUCCAUGAUGUUCGAAACUACCUGGGCGACCUCGGUCCAUGGUGUCAAGUACGAGAUGCAGCCGGCGACCUCCAUUCGAAGCACUCAUAGAAACAGACUUUAGGAAGACUCCGUGCAUGGUGGAAUGGCAUACACACCACGUGUAAAUGACGUCAUUAGGCCACGUGAUCUAUAACAAAGACAACUGUACUGUCAUCUUGACGGAGGAGGGAAACCAUAAUGGAAUCUUCGUCUGUCGCUGAACAACAUGAAACCAGUAUCAGGCAAGACCAGCGAUUUUAAAAAAAAGUGCCAACCAAACACUUGUUACAUUUGUCAAAGUUUCUGCCAGAAAUAGUACAAAUCGAUUUCCAAUCAAACGAUGUGACCAAUUCUUAAGCAUGUCAUUGCUUUGCAAAAUGCAAGAUAUCAUUCAAACAGAAAAAGUUGUUCAGAAUCAAAAUGACAGCAGAAACGUGACAAAUCUAACUAGAUGCUAGUGAGGUUUCGCAUCCCUAUGAUUGACAUCUACGUUUACGAUUCAAUAUUACUAAAUUGUAAAGCAUUUUGGGCCUUCUGAUUACAAAGAAAAAUCUCAUAAUGUUGCAAAAAUCGCGCAAACCUCUGCCGAAAACAACCCAAUAACAGGUACGGAUAUUUUGAAAAUGUAAACGUGAUAAAAAACAUAAGCUUGCGAAACCUCCCUACCUUUCCCGUUUCCCAUUGCAUGACGUAUGAUGAGAACCUCGAGAUGGUUAAAAUUGCCUUCAGCUGAUUUGAAAAAAACUGUAAGCAAGCUUGACACAUUUGAUGUCGCAUUCGUCUGUCCUCGGAAGCGUUCGUGAAUUUCCGGAAGGUCGAGAAUAUAUAGCGAAACUGUGACCUCUGCAUUCGAGAUGAACAUGAACCGUGAACAUGAACGGUUGAAAUGAAAUUGGUCCUUGGGUAUUUGAUAAUUUAUGCAACACUAUUUUUGCAAAUGGCAAUAUCUGGCCUGCUUUGAAAGUGAAAGAUUAUCCAUGAUACAUUUGUUCAUUUCUGGGCGAAGUUUAUCAAUUAUAAAAAUUAGAGUUAUCAGGUUUUUCAUCGUCAUGCAUAGGGGUCAGUGUUUGGUCCAUCUCUACUGUAUGUACUUAAUGAAACAUAUUUGAUAGGU